rnacentral:rRNA from 1 species
UACAGAGGGUGCAAGCGUUAAUCGGAAUUACUGGGCGUAAAGCGUGCGUAGUCGGUUAUCUAAGUCGGGUGUGAAAUCCCCGGGCUCAACCUGGGAAUUGCAUUCGAUACUGGAUAGCUAGAGUUCGGCAGAGGGAAGCGGAAUUUCGGGUGUAGCGGUGAAAUGCGUAGAUAUCAGGAGGAACACCUGCGGUGUAGACGGCUUACUGGACCAUAACUGACGCUGAGGCACGAAAGCGUGGGUAGCAAACAGG